ensembl:lncRNA
GCAGCUCCGGGGAUAGAAAACAAGUGUAAACACAUAGAUUUCACUCCCCACGAGCGGUCCGUAGUUUGGGGUAGAAAAGAUCUUUUUCUUUCGAUAAGAGCGCAUUUCUAGCGUAGGUUGGGAAGCCGACACUCCCCGGUAACUGGCAGGGGGAGGCGGUUUGCGGGACGCUGCCGGGGGGCGCUGAGCUUUGUGCCAACCUCUCCCAGCGUCCGGCCAGCCAGGAGAAAGCUGCGAAUGCAGGAGGGGAUGAAGGCGGAGAAUGGGUGAGGAAGGAAGGGGCUGGGAAAUGGGAAGAGGUCGUUCUGCCCCCGAAACUACAUAAUGGCUGGGAAGGACCGCCAAACAAGACUGGAACCAGUAGGAAGUUGUACGGUAUGAAGAAACAGGCCCAAGGAAGCUUCCAGAUUUUGUCAGAUGGUAGAUUCCAAGUCUCCAACUUCUACUGCUGCUUGGUGCUGUCUAACCGUCCCUUAAUGGCACAGAUUCACUGGACAGAGGAAGAAGAGGAUGGCCAAGAUUUACUGGUUGAAAGAUGAGACAGCUCCCUUCUGAUGCUUUCUAUCUGCCUUUGAAAUUCAUCAGCUGAGGGUGAGGAAGAGAUGGGAGAAUUGGAGUUUGAUUAUGUCAUAGAAGAUGUGGAUAAACAGAAUGAGGAAGGGAAGAGAACCUCUUGGAAGACAUGUGAGCCUGCGCUAGGCUUGUGUUUCACCCUUCCAGAAAACCCAUGGACCAGUAUUAUUAUGCCCAUUUUACAGAAAUUGAUGUUCAGCAAGGUUUGGAAAAUGAAAUUCAACUAUUGUGUUACCCAUUAUCUGUUGAAGGCUAUCUGAUUUUAGGAAUCUAAUAAGAUCUCAAAUGGUCGUAAUAGCAAGUGGGAUCCCAUAUUUUGUUUAUAGUAGGAGCUUUAUUAACUUUUUAAAUUGGUACCAUGUACUGAAACUUUAAACUUUGCUUUAGUGUUCUUUAUUAACUCUCCAGUAGUACUCAAACAGAUUCUUUCAUAGUUAGGAAACCUCAAAGUCACUGAUUAUCUGAUCUGAAGAUUCAAGGACUAACACACCUACAAUAGGAAUGAAGUUUCUGAAACUUUAGACCCCCUCCAGAUACUUAGCUGAUUACCACAAAAACCACUAAAAGCUUGAGUAUAUUUUUAGUCACUGCUCUUCAGGCAUAUUGAUUGGCUUAGCAAGAGUUUUUUUAUAUUGGAAAAGAUUACCAAAGAGUAAGAUAUAUUGUAAAUCAGAGAAAGAUGAAAAAAAAGUGCAAGGAAAAACAAAACAAAAAAAUUUUCUAAAGAAAUUUUGAAUCAAAACUUAUCUACAUAGCAUUUCCUAGAAUUUGCAGUAUUUAACCCUCCAAGGGACAGGCUGAAAACUUCCCAUAUCAGCUUUUGAAAGAGCUGAGUUGGGAGAGGGAGAUAAUUGCCUUCCCAUCUUUGUUUCCAGAGGUAACAGGCAAGUAAAUAAAGAAAAGCAAUCAAAGAUUACAUUAAAAGAAUCGGUUUCCUAGUCUUAGAGAGUUAUCUAAUUAAUGGGUCAGCCAGAAGUGAGAGUGGAAAAAAGAAAGUUAACUUUUCAGCAUGAUAGCAUAGGAAGCAUGCAAAGGUUAAUUUUCCAUUGUUAUUUUGAAGUCAUAAAUACUUUCUGGUAUUAAAAAGUAGAUUAAAUCCCUGGCCAGAAGGAGAUACUUGAACUAUUCUAUGGCUCUAGAAAUUAAAGUAUAAAAUUAUAUUGAACAUUUAUCUUUAUUCCAAAUGGUAAUGUAGUUUUUAUUUUUUUAAGAAAAAA